AUGGCAAACAUGUCAGAGGUUUUUGUACGGCGGCUCAAUGACUUUGUAUCACUGUGGUGGACUUUUGGUGGAGGAACCAGACUGGAUGUUGGAAGUGACGUCCGUCCCUCCCUGACGGUGCUGCCCCCCUCCAGUGAGGAGCUGGAGCAGGGGAAGGCCACGCUCAUGUGUCUGGCCAACAAGGGCUUCCCCUCAGACUGGAGUCUGUCCUGGAAGGUGGACGGCAGCAGCAGCAGCAGCAGCAGCAGCAGCUGGGAGGAGAGCAGGAGCCCCGGGGUGCUGGAGAAGGACGGCCGCUACAGCUGGAGCAGCACCCUGAGGCUCUCUGCAGACCAGUGGAGGAAGGUGGGCUCUGUGACCUGUGAGGCCACCCAGGGCUCCCAGACUCCACUCUCUCAGACACUGAGGAGAGACCAGUGUUCCCAGUCCUGACCUGACUCACUUUGACUCUGCUGCUGGUUUUAAUCUGCUACUGCUCUGAGUCUGCAACUCUCUCUCUCACUCUCUUUCUCUCUUUUUCUCUUGAAUGCUUGAGUAAAUGUUGAUGGUUUCAAGAUAUUAAAAAAAGUAAAGAUUUCAUCAAACCAGAGGUUUCCAUGAGGUUAUUUUCACUUUAUCAUUUCUUGUACACGCUGAGCUUUACAAUAUAUUAUAUGGAAACAUUGCACAUAAAUAUUAGCAAACUAAACUAACAUGCAACUAACAUAAUAUUUAGUCAAUUACACGUAAAAGUCCCCCAAAGACAAAGAAAAAGUGAUAACGAAAAAACAGUUGACAUGUAUUUUAAAAAUAUUCUAGCUUUGGUCCAGUUAGCGAACAGAUUAGUGACACCUUUAGACAAAAAAUCACAUUCAAGUGUAUCCUGAUCUUUGAAAAGCUUUUGACAUUGUAGAAACAAACAUAUAAUUAAAUAGGUUUUAAGCAACAUAGGGUGAGGUCUUCCACAAGGUUCAGUUCUGGUCCCUCAUGUAUUUCCUACAUUGUCAGUGAUUUGUGUUUGAUGUCAAAUGAAGUCUCUGGUGGGUUUCUUCUACAAGCCCUCAGUUCAUCACAGCUGUACAUUUCCUUAUGUUACUUUAUAUUUUGUCUUGUUUUAUCAUAGACACAAAUAAAAAAACAAUAAGGACGGCAAAGCAGAAACAUUACAUAACAUAGGAUGUCAUGAACAUAUAUUUUAAAAAUAGCUAUUGUGAGUAUCUCACUUAAUCUUACAAUUUUAAAAUAGCUUACACCAUUCAGGUUCAUUCAGGUACAGUUGUUGCUCAAAUGUUGCAAAUCAGAGCAACAGCCCCUCAAAAUAUCUGUGCAAAGUCCUUGUUACUGAUUGAGCUCAUUUGUACACUAUAGUUUGUAUAUUUUAUAUGUGUUGGUCAUUAUGUGUCACAUGUAUUUCUUUUGAUUGAUUUGUGCUGUAUUUCAUUUAUAUGUGCUACUGAUCCGUUUACCUAAGCUGUUAAAUAACAUUAUUAUCAAUAAAAAUAAAAAUCUGUAGAACUUGAGUCCGUCUGAGCUGUGCAGCAGUCAUGUGUCACUGACGUCGCUUGAGACUGACGGCGUAAUCAUGGAGGAUUUCUCUUCCCAGGUUAAAGCGAUGAAAGCAGAGC